UAGUAUAAUAUGUUUAAAAAUGUCAUACUAGUGAUUGAAUAAUAUGUAUGACAAAAAUUUUUUUUAGUAUGUCAAAAGAAAGUCAUGGUAUAGUAUGAUAAAAAUGUCCUAAAAUUGUAUGAUAAAAAUCCAUAGUAUAGUUAGAUAAAAAAUGUCAUAGUAUAGCAUGUUAAAAAAAUGUCAUAGUAUAGUAUGAUAAAAAUGUCCUAAAAUUGUAUGAUUAAAAUUCAUAGUAUAGUUAGAUAAAAAUGUCAUAGUAUAGUAUGUUAAAAAAAUGUCAUAGUAUAGUAUGAUAAAAAUGUCAUAGUAUAAUAUGUUUAAAAAUGUCAUACUAUUGAUUGAUUAAUAUGUAUGACAAAAAUUUUUUUUAUAGUAUGUUAAAAGAAAGUCAUGGUAUUGUAUGAUAAAAAUGUCCUAAAAUUGUAUGAUAAAAAUCCAUAGUAUAGUUAGAUAAAAAUGUCAUAGUAUAGUAUGUUAAAAAAAUGUCAUAGUAUAGUAUGAUAAAAAUGUCCUAAAAUUGUAUGAUUAAAAUUCAUAGUAUAGUUAGAUAAAAAUGUCAUAGUAUAGUAUGAUAAAAAUGUCAUAGUAUAGUAUGUCAAAAAUCCCAUAGUUAAGUAUGUGAAAAAAUGUCAUAGUGUUGUAUGGCAAAAAAGAACAUUGUAUAGUACAGUAAAAAAAUCAUAGCAUAGUAUGAUUGAAAUGUCUUAGUGUAGUUUGUUUUAAUGAUAUGUCUUGAACCUUUAUAUUGGCUUUUAAUAAAUGUGAGUAUUAUUUGUAGUCGUUAAUGAAUGUUUUUGCUUGGAAAAUCAAUGACAACACUAGACCUGGUUCUCUUAAAAACUUUAAUGUGCAGCAGUUAAUCACAAGUUUCUCAGGCAACAAACAAGUUAUAUCAAGACUGACCACCAGGGGGGGCCUUUUCUGUUUUAUGCCUAUUGCUUUAACUAACUGGGUCCUGAACUCCAGAUCCUGUCGUCUUCUAUUCCUUGUUUGAUCCUCAGGUGGCGGCAGGAGGACUGGAGACCCGGCACUUGGUGGGACUUGCAGGGGACAACAUGGGUGACUACACAACCACCAGAGGGUGGGACCCACAAGUUAAUAAAUAAAAGACACAAACACACUGUACCUCUGUGUCGCUUUAUUUUAAUCAGCCCCUCCCCAUCCUCCCUCCCAACCCCUAUUUUCCAGAAAACCUCGACAUAAACCUGUCUCUGUGGCUCAGAGGGGAAAAAGAUCAAUUUCGACUCCUGAGAUUGAAGGUUUGAACCCUUAUCCAGGUUCUGGUGAAUUUUAAAGUCUAGUGUCUUGAGACGAGAGUGGAAGUCUUUCACGAACAGGAUCUUCCUGUGUGUCCACAUGGCUCAGUGGAUAAGAAGACUGACCGGGACUCCUGAGGUUGUGGGUUCAAGCCCUACCUUAUCCAGGUUGAGGUGAAUUUUAAAGUCUAGUGUCUACAAAGGAGAGUGAAAGAGGAAACAAACAACCAACAUCUGUGUGUCCACAUGGCUCAGUCAAUAACAAGACUGACUCAGACUCCUGAGGUCUUAGGUUCAAGCCUUACCUUAUCCAGGUUGAGGUGAAUUUUAAGGUCCAGUGUCUACAAAAGAGAGCGAAAGAGGAAACAAAUGGGAUCUUCCUGUGUGCGUUUGGCUCAGUGGAUAAGGACUCCUGUUGUCAUGGGUACAAACCUUAUCUAGGUCUAGUUGAAAUUUAAAGUCCAGGAGCCAAAGUACGAAGAUACAUGCGCGCAGAGCUCAUACCCAAGCGUGGAUAGUAGCGCAGUGCGGUAGUCCACCGGCACCCAAUGUGGGUACCCCGGUUCGAUACCCACUCGGGACAGGAAGUUUAAUGUGAUGGAAUGAUGAUAAUAAAUAGAGAAUUCUUCUCUAGCAAGAAGAAGUACUAUUCAUCACUUCUGAUGAUGAAAAAUAAUAAUAAUAAUCAUCACUUCUAAUGAUGAUAAUCUGACCAUUACUAAUACUCUCCAGCCACGAGCUGGUAUCACACCGGUACUCAUUGGGUGCCAGUAGACUACCGUGCAGCACCAUUAGAUACCAUCCACAUUAGGGCAUGAGGUCCACCCGCUUUUAUCUUCAUACUUUGGCUCCUGGACUUAAAAAUUCACCAAGACCUGGAUAAGGGUUCGAGCCCACAACCUCAGGGGUCCCAGUCAGUCCCAGUCAGUCCUCUUAUCCAUUGAGCCAUGAGAACACAAAGGAAGUUCCUGUUUGUAAAAGAUUUUCACUCUCCUCUCCUUUCUAGACACUGGCCUUUACCAUUUACCAGGACCUGGAUAAGUGUUCGCACCUUCAACCUCAGGAGUCUAAUCAAAUAAAAAAUACAAACAUACUGUGACUCUUUGUCUCUUUAUUUUAAUCAGACCCUCCCUGGAAAUGCCA